UACGUAGGGACCGAGCGUUGUCCGGAUUCAUUGGGCGUAAAGAGCUCGUAGGCGGCUGCUCAAGUCGAAUGUGAAAACUCGAGGCUCAACCUCGAGCCUGCAUUCGAUACUGGGCGGCUAGAGUCUGGUAGGGGGAUCUGGAAUUCCUGGUGUAGCGGUGGAAUGCGCAGAUAUCAGGAGGAACACCGGUGGCGAAGGCGGGAUCCUGGGCCAGUACUGACGCUGAGAAGCGAAAGCGUGGGGAGCGAACAGG
rnacentral:rRNA from 1 species